rnacentral:rRNA from 1 species
AGUGAACGCUGGCGGUAGGCCUAACACAUGCAAGUCGAACGGCAGCACAGUAAGAGCUUGCUCUUACGGGUGGCGAGUGGCGGACGGGUGAUGAAUACAUCGGAAUCUACUUUUUCGUGGGGGAUAACGUCGGGAAACUUACGCUAAUACCGCAUACGACCUACUUGUGAAAGCAGGCGAUCUUCGGACCUUGCGCGAUUGAAUGAGCCGAUGUCGGCUUAGCUAGUUGGCGGGGUAAAGGCCCACCACGGCGACGAUCCGUAGCUGGUCUGAGAGGAUGAUCAGGCAGAUUGGAAGUGAGACAAGGUCCAGACUCCUGGGGGAGGCAGCAGUGGGGAAUAUUGGACAAUGGGCGCAAGCCUGAUCCAGCCAAACCGCGUGGGUGAAGAAGGCCUUCGGGUUGUAAAGCCCUUUUGUUGGGAAAGAAAAGCAGCAGGUUAAUACCCCGCUGUUCUGACGGUACCCAAAGAAUAAGCACCGGCUAACUUCGUG